AGGCUGAUCAGUCCAAAAUCUGCUGAGUGGACCAGUAGGCUGGCAACUCAGGAAUGAGCCAGAGUUGCAGUUCAAGUCCAAAAAUCAUCAGUUGCAGAAUUCUCUGCUACUCAAGAACUUUCAACUGAUUGGAUGAGACCCAUCCACUUGAUGGAGGGCAAUCUGCUUUACUAAAAGUCUGUGAAUUAAAAGUGUCACAUAAAUAGCCACUGCCUCAAGUCUUCUGGGAAAAAAUUUAUCUACUUGCUCUUUUGGAAGACAUAGAUCUUCUGGGAGAUCCACUCGCUGGUUAUUUCUGUCCUUUGUCUGUGAGAAAUGGGCUUCUUCCCAGUGGAAGCUUCUAAAGGGAUUUUUCUGAAGGAAAAAUCACACCACAAUGAAGUGACUUCCCAGGCAAUUAUUCUAGGAUAACUUCUCCUGAACUUUCUUAUCUCACGGCCAUCCUGCCCUGCACUGUUAAGACAGUCAGUAAAGUUCCCCGUGCUUGAUUUCACCCGGAACAUCCACACACCAAGGCAUUUGGAGACAGCAGACUUCACUGAAGGUUUGUGGUAAUGGGUGUUAGACCUCAAAAUCCAACAGCAAAGAACGUGGCCGUGGAAUUGAAGAGAUC